CCUGACCCCAUGCCGAACUCAGAAGUGAAACGCCGUAGCGCCGAUGGUAGUGUGGGGUCUCCCCAUGUGAGAGUAGGGAACUGCCAGAC
rnacentral:rRNA from 2 species